rnacentral:rRNA from 1 species
UGAGGAAUAUUGGUCAAUGGGGGCAACCCUGAACCAGCCAUGCCGCGUGAAGGAAGAAGGCCCUAAGGGUUGUAAACUUCUUUUGUACGGGGGUAAUUUACAGAUCGUGAUCUGUAUUGAAAGUACUGUACGAAUAAGCGUCGGCUAACUACGUGCCAGCAGCCGCGGUAAUACGUAGGACGCAAGCGUUAUCCGGAUUCAUUGGGUUUAAAGGGUGCGUAGGCGGGCCUUUAAGUCAGUGGUGAAAGUUUGCCGCUUAACGGUAAGAUUGCCAUUGAUACUGGAGGCCUUGAGUGCAGAUGAGGUAGGCGGAAUGUGUAGUGUAGUGGUGAAAUACUUAGAUAUUACACAGAACACCGAUUGCGAAGGCAGCUUACUAAAUUGCAACUGACGCUGAGGC